GUCCCCACCUUGGUUGUCGAUGUUGUUAUUCGUAAUAAUAAUGAGCCGCCCAUUGAGGGCUUGGGAUGAAUGUGUGUGGAAUAAAUGGUAGGUGGACUGAGCGUUUCCUAUCCCUGGCAUGGCCCUCUGGGAGGUGCGGGGCGGUCUGCCUUGCCAGAGGUCAUGGCUGAGUCUACACAAAGCUGGUGUCCUCAGAGAGGCUGAGCUGAGCCUACCGCAGCCUGCACACUCCUCAGCCUUCCUGCCCACCCUGCCGUCAGGCUGAGUAGAUGGUCAUUUGCUUCCCAGCCGGCGGGCAGCUACUGAUGUUUUUAUGGGCAGAUUGCAGGUUCUGUGGUUAGUGGAGAUACGUGCAUGCAUGCCUGCUGAGUCGCUUCAGCCCUGUCCGACUCUUUGCGACCCUGUGGACAGCAGCCCGCCAGGCUCCUCUGUCCAUGGGAUUCUCCAGGCAAGAAUACUGGAGUGGGUUGCCAUGCCCUCCUCCAGGGGAGCUUCUCUACCUAGGGAUCAAACCCAUAUCUCUUAUGCCUCCUGCACUG
ensembl:lncRNA